GACGAACCGUGCGAACGUUGUUCGGAAUCACUGGGCUUAAAGGGCGCGUAGGCGGGCCGGCAAGUCGGGGGUGAAAUCCUCCAGCUCAACUGGAGAACUGCUUCCGAUACUGCCGGUCUCGAGUGGGGUAGGGGCGUGCGGAACGACGGGUGGAGCGGUGAAAUGCGUUGAUAUCGGAAGGAACGCCGGCGGCGAAAGCGGCUUGCUGGACCCCCCCUUACGCUGAGGCGCGAAAGCCAGGGGAGCGAACGGG
rnacentral:rRNA from 1 species